AGUGAACGCUGGCGGUAGGCCUAACACAUGCAAGUCGAACGGCAGCACAGUAAGAGCUUGCUCUUACGGGUGGCGAGUGGCGGACGGGUGAGGAAUACAUCGGAAUCUACUUUUUCGUGGGGGAUAACGUAGGGAAACUUACGCUAAUACCGCAUACUACCUACGGGUGAAAGCAGGGGAUCUUCGGACCUUUCGCGAUUGAAUGAGCCGAUGUCGGAUUAGCUAGUUGGCGGGGUAAAGGCCCACCAAGGCGACGAUCCGUAGCUGGUCUGAGAGGAUGAUCAGCCACACUGGAACUGAGAAACGGUCCAGACACCAAGGGGAGGAAGCGGUGGGGAAUAUUGGACAAUGGGCGCAAGCCUGAUCAAGCCAUACCGCGUGGGUGAAGAAGGCCUUCGGGUUGUAAAGCCCUUUUGUUGGGAAAGAAAAGCAGCAGGUUAAGACCCCGCUGUUCUGACGGUACCAAAAGAAUAAGCACCGGCUAACUGCGU
rnacentral:rRNA from 1 species